rnacentral:rRNA from 1 species
ACGGGUGAGUAAUGCCUAGGAAUCUGCCUGGUAGUGGGGGAUAACGUUCGGAAACGGACGCUAAUACCGCAUACGUCCUACGGGAGAAAGCAGGGGACCUUCGGGCCUUGCGCUAUCAGAUGAGCCUAGGUCGGAUUAGCUAGUUGGUGAGGUAAUGGCUCACCAAGGCGACGAUCCGUAACUGGUCUGAGAGGAUGAUCAGUCACACUGGAACUGAGACACGGUCCAGACUCCUACGGGAGGCAGCAGUGGGGAAUAUUGGACAAUGGGCGAAAGCCUGAUCCAGCCAUGCCGCGUGUGUGAAGAAGGUCUUCGGAUUGUAAAGCACUUUAAGUUGGGAGGAAGGGUUGUAGAUUAAUACUCUGCAAUUUUGACGUUACCGACAGAAUAAGCACCGGCUAACUCUGUGCCAGCAGCCGCGGUAAUACAGAGGGUGCAAGCGUUAAUCGGAAUUACUGGGCGUAAAGCGCGCGUAGGUGGUUUGUUAAGUUGGAUGUGAAAUCCCCGGGCUCAACCUGGGAACUGCAUUCAAAACUGACUGACUAGAGUAUGGUAGAGGGUGGUGGAAUUUCCUGUGUAGCGGUGAA